rnacentral:tRNA from 1 species
GGAGGGCCAUAGCUGAGUGGUAAAGCACAUGCUUUGCAUGCAGAAGGUCCCAUGUUCAAUUCCUGGCAUCUCCA